rnacentral:rRNA from 1 species
UACAGAGGUCUCAAGCGUUGUUCGGAUUCAUUGGGCGUAAAGGGUGCGUAGGCGGCGCGGUAAGUCGGGUGUGAAAUCUUGGAGCUUAACUCCGAAACUGCAUUCGAUACUGCCGUGCUUGAGGACUGGAGAGGAGACUGGAAUUUACGGUGUAGCGGUGAAAUGCGUAGAUAUUAGGAAGAACACCAGUGGCGAAGGCAAGGUCCUGGCUCGUAUCUGACGCUGAGGUGCGAAAGCUAGGGGAGCGAACGGG